ensembl:lncRNA
UGACUCGCAUUUAACAAAUCACACCCUGGCCUUUUCGGCAAUCCUGGGAGAAAGAAGAGGCAACAACUAUAGCUGGGCUGUCCCCCUGUGAUGCCCCGUGAGUCAAAUGUGUUUGCACCACCAUUAUUGGUUUCAUGAUAAAGGAAUGUGUGUAAACAUUGUUUCUGAGUGGACAGGCCAGUCUACUGAAAUUUAAAACGCAGGCUGAGAGAACUUCAUUGCACAAUAUUGUGCCAAUGUUUAUGCAUUUUUUCCCCCUUCUCUUAGUGUAAUUUUGUUACUGCAAUUUUUGUAGAAGUAUGUGUUUUUUUCGUUCUCUUGAGUAACACAGAAGAGAAAAUCUCAGAGCGUAAUUAUACAGUGUAUUUGGUUUGAAUCAAAAAUAUAAGAGCAUUUAUACAAAUAAUAGAUAACUCUCUUUCAUCUCUGUUAUAUUUACUCUUGAUACUUAGAGUGUAUUGAAUUAUAAAACAUGCUCAAGGAUUUACAACAAAUAAUUGCAAGUAUCUGCAUUUGUCAUUUGUUUAGAAAGUUCAGAUAUAUUCAUUUUGAAAUCACAAUACAGUUUUUAUGAGAUGAACAGCUGUUAUUAUUACUUGUUGUUUUUAAUAGGAUCUCAAUGUUUUUAUGGUCAGCAAGCAUAACCUCAAGUAGACAAGAAAAUGACUUGCACAUCAGAAUGUGAAUCUUUGUCCCCCAUGACUUGCUGCAGUGAGCUUGGUGUAGUUUUCUCUGGACAGCUUUAUGUGUGGAUUUGGGACAUCUCUGCAUGAGAGAGACAUCUUUAUGGCCAUUGCUGUCGGAAAAAAUACAGGGCAGGAAACAACUCGUGGAAAGAACAUGACUAAGCUUGCCAUUUUUGUGUGGAACUUAAGUUGAAGAAGUCCUAAUCAUAUCAAUGUAUACAUGGUAAGACUGUUAAAACUUUAACGUGUGUUUAAUUAUUGUGCAGACUUAUGGUUUGAAUUCAGUGAGUGCCAAUAUAGAAACCAAACCAAAAAAGUAUUUUUCUUCUUCUCUCUAACAGUCUUUCCUGUCCAAUGUAUAUGUGAGCAGUCCAAA